CCAAGUUCAGCUGUAUGCGGUCACCCUGAGAUUCCUUCCUACUUGAUUAUUUCUCACAGACUUAACCAAGAAAAUAUCGUUCUGGAAGAUUGCUAGGCAGGCUUUUCCAUUGCAUUGCAGGACAACUCAGAUAAUGCAGGUCCAGUCCUCUGAGUCAUCCAGUGUGGGCUGGAGGUUUGGAACCUGGAAAUGUCUGAUCUAGGCAAGUAAUAAGCUGACGUCAAAAGACUUGGUGCACAGGUCUAUUGAAGCACCUAAGAGGAAAGACACUUCUUCAAACCUCAAAUGCUCUUUACAUCCAGCAAAUCUGGACUGGAAGUCGUUCAAUAAGAUGACUUCCCAUGAAAUGUCUGGUACUUCAUGUUUCCCGUCAGGUCAUAAAUGCCACGAGAACAGCUUUUCCUCCUCCAUUUAAAUUUGUCCAGUGCCAGUUUUGGUCUUGUCCCAAAGCCAAAAACUUUGGAGACAUUGACAGAAAAGAAAGUAAUUAACCAUAUUGGAAGAGCCCAGAGAGUUCUGUGUAGAUUCUGCUGUAGAUGCUGGUGCAGAGGAAUCCAAGGUGUAGGGAAUGAAAGAGCCACAAGAUGUAAGAAACCUCAGUUCCUCAAUGUAGACAUGGAAGAAAGCUUCCGGGAGCAGGCUCACUGGAUUUGGUCACAUAAUGAUCACAGAAUAAACUCUUGUGAAUCAGUGAAACUACAAAUGGUACUGCAGAUGGAACCUCGGAUGACUUCAACCAGCACCUAUUAUCAAGGACCCCUAGACUAGCCUGCCAGCCCAUACCCAGAUAUUGACACCCAAACCACCUCUCAUGAGGAAACCUCAGCUGCAGGGACCCUUCUAUGCCCCUACUCAGCAGGAAGCAGUUUCAGCGGUCAUCGUCCCACACCCAACAGCAGUUGGGCUCUCCUGUUGAGAGGGGAGACUGAGGGGUAGAGUUGGUGGGACUUCCUGGGCCGAUUGAAGGACUUUUGCAAAAGACCCCUGUGACUCAGGGUUUUGAGUUCUUAACCAUUCGAGUGAAGGAUUCAAAAUUAACCACUCUGAGGGAAGAUUGAAAAAAGAACCACUCUCAAUGGGCAAAAAGAAAGAAAGGGGAGGGGGUAACAUAGGGAUAUAAGCCCUAGCCAUCCGAGCCAGCAACAGCAACCCUUCUGGGUCCCCAUCCACCACGUGGAAGCUUUCCCUUCACUUUGUUCAAUAAACUGCACUGUUCCUCACUCUCCUGGUCCAUGGACUCUUUUUGGACUGUUAACACUCACCACGAAAGUCUGCAGCUUCAUUCUUCAAAGUUAGCAAGACCACUAAUGCAUCAGCAGGAAAAACUCCUGACUGAAUAUGACCCAACAAUUCCAUACCUAAGUAUAUAGCCAAGGGAAAUGAAUUCAUAUAUCUU
rnacentral:lncRNA from 10 species